rnacentral:rRNA from 1 species
AGAUCGAACUGAAGAGUUUGAUCCUGGCUCAGAUUGAACGCUGGCGGCAUGCCUUACACAUGCAAGUCGAACGGUAACGCGGGGCAACCUGGCGACGAGUGGCGAACGGGUGAGUAAUAUAUCGGAACGUGCCCAAUAGGGGGGGAUA